UCCAGACUCCUACGGGAGGCAGCAGUGGGGGAUAUUGCACAAUGGGGGAAACCCUGAUGCAGCGACGCCGCGUGUGGGAAGACGGUCCUCUGGAUUGUAAACCACUGUCCCCAGGGACGAAGAUGACGGUACCUGGGGAGGAAGCUCCGGCUAACUACGUGCCAGCAGCCGCGGUAAUACGUAGGGGGCAAGCGUUGUUCGGAAUGACUGGGCGUAAAGGGUGUGUAGGCGGUGUAGCAAGUUAGAAGUGAAAUACCUAGAGCUUAACUCAGGUGCUGCUUCUAAAACUGCUAUACUUGAGUGCAGGAGAGGAAAGUGGAAUUCCUAGUGUAGCGGUGGAAUGCGUAGAUAUUAGGAGGAACAUCAGUAGCGAAGGCGACUUUCUGGACUGUAACUGACGCUGAGGCACGAAAGUGUGGGGAGCAAACAGGAUUAGAUACCCCGGUAC
rnacentral:rRNA from 1 species